UUUGAAAUCCCUUGCCAUAUGUCACUGGACUGGAAUGAUUUCAGGGAGUUUUCUCUGCAUCAAGCACCUUGACCUGCUGUAGCUGAGUGCUACCAUGUGCACCUUGUGGUGUUCUAGGGAAAGGUGACAAAAUGUGGACUUCCAUAAGGCAAAUAUCAAGGAUGUCUCUCCUGAGCUCCAGCUGGGUGCAGACAUGGAAUAGUAACAAGUCCAUGGGAAAAGCUCAUCUUCUCACAGCCCUUGCAGCAGCACUCUGAGCUCAGUGUGAACUUCCCAGAGCACAGAGGCAGAGCUGAAACCCUCACUGAUGCUGCCAGGAACUUUCUGCAGGGAUUAAAGCAAUAGGGUGGAGCUGAAGUGUGUGUGAACCCAAACUGGAUUCCAGCCCUGCACUCUGCUCCUGAGUGUUUGGUGCUCUGUAAUUUCCAGUUUUUCCUGAUGUAAAAUAGAGGAUGAAGACAGCAGUUGAAACAAUUGCGGUGGAGAAGGUUUUCAAC